rnacentral:tRNA from 1 species
AACUACUUAGUAUUUAAGUAUAUUUAACUUCCAAUUACAAAGGUCUCUAACGAGAGUAGUUA